rnacentral:lncRNA from 1 species
GGGGCCCUCCUCGGGGCUGGGGCCCGCCUGGGGCGGAGGCCACACCCAGCACCCUCGGGCCCCGUCCCCCAGCGGCGCCCUCCGCUGUGCCGCUGGGCCCUGCCUCGCUGCCACCCACUUCCUGGUCGGCCCGAGGCCCCGUGUUUGCUGGCAGCAGACCAGUGCCCUCGCCUGCCCCCUGCCACCCCCAUGGGCCUGUCUCUGCCAGAUCUGCCUCAGGACCAGAAUUUUCCCUCCGUGAAAGAGAGAGAGGCCGUGGACGAGUGAGGACGGCUCCAUGUAUCCGGAAUCGACCGCGGGCUCCCCGGCUCGGCUCUCCCUGCGGCAGACGGGCUCCCCAGGGAUGAUCUACAGGUGACCCCCCACCCUGCCCCCUCCAGGGCCUGUAGCCCCAACGCCGAGGGCGUCCCCAGGGCCACUGG